rnacentral:rRNA from 1 species
AAAGGAUUUGAGGGAAGGGCACCCCCAGGAGUGGAGCUUGCGGCUUAAUUUGACUCAACACGGGAAACCUCACCCGGCCAGUACAUCAUAAGGAUUGACAGAUUGAAAGCUCUUUCAUGAUUUGAUGAAUGGUGGCGCAUGCCCGUUCUUAGUUCGUGGCGUGAGUUGUCUGCUUAAUUGCGAUAACGAGCGAGACUCCGUCUGCCAAAUACCUGGUGGAUUGAUUGUCCGCGCGGGUUCUUUGCUGGAUUCGAGACUGCAAGUCUCAAGAAAUGGAGCAAUAACAGGUCUGUGAUCCCCUUAGAUGUUCGGGGCCGCACGCGUGCUACAAUGAUGCUAACAGCGUGCUUGUCCUCGCCCGAGAGGGCUUGGCAAACAGUUGAGAUGUUAUUACGGCUGGAAUUGAGUGUUGAAAUUUUCCCUCAUGAACGAGGAAUUCCAAGUAAAUGCGAGUCAUCAACUUGCAUUGAUUACGUCCCUGCCCUUUGUACACACCGCCCGUCGCUACCCGGGAGUGAUUCGUUUCGAGAAAUUCACGGACUAGUGGCGCGCG